AAGACCAACAGGGAUUGCCCUAGUAACGGCGAGUGAAGCGGCAACAGCUCAAAUUUGAAAUCUGGCUCUUUUAGAGUCCGAGUUGUAAUUUGCAGAGGGCGCUUUGGCUUUGGCAGCGGUCCAAGUUCCUUGGAACAGGACGUCACAGAGGGUGAGAAUCCCGUACGUGGUCGCUGGCUAUUGCCGUGUAAAGCCCCUUCGACGAGUCGAGUUGUUUGGGAAUGCAGCUCUAAAUGGGAGGUACAUUUCUUCUAAAGCUAAAUAUUGGCCAGAGACCGAUAGCGCACAAGUAGAGUGAUCGAAAGAUGAAAAGCACUUUGGAAAGAGAGUCAAACAGCACGUGAAAUUGUUGAAAGGGAAGCGCUUGCAGCCAGACUUGCUUACAGUUGCUCAUCCGGGUUUCUACCCGGUGCACUCUUCUGUAGGCAGGCCAGCAUCAGUUUGGGCGGUAGGAUAAAGGUCUCUGUCACGUACCUCCUUUCGGGGAGGCCUUAUAGGGGAGACGACAUACUACCAGCCUGGACUGAGGUCCGCGCAUCUGCUAGGAUGCUGGCGUAAUGGCUGUAAGCGGCCCGUCUUGAAACACGGACCAAGGAGUCUAACAUCUAUGCGAGUGUUUGGGUGUCAAGCCCGAGCGCGUAAUGAAAGUGAACGGAGGUGGGAACCCGCAAGGGUGCACCAUCGACCGAUCCUGAUGUCUUCGGAAGGAUUUGAGUAAGAGCAUGGCUGUUGGGACCCGAAAGAUGGUGAACUAUGCUUGAAUAGGGUGAAGCCAGAGGAAACUCUGGUGGAGGCUCGCAGCGGUUCUGACGUGCAAAUCGAUCGUCAAAUUUGGGCAUAGGGGCGAAAGACUAAUCGAACUAUCUAGUAGCUGGUUCCUGCCGAAGUUUCCCUCAGGAUAGCAGUAACGUAUUCAGUUUUAUGAGGUAAAGCGAAUGAUUAGAGGC
rnacentral:rRNA from 1 species